rnacentral:rRNA from 1 species
UGAGGAAUAUUGGUCAAUGGACGAGAGUCUGAACCAGCCAAGUAGCGUGCAGGAUGACGGCCCUAUGGGUCGUAAACUGCUUUUGUUUGGGAAUAAUCGACAUUACGUGUAAUGUUUUGCAUGUACCAUUCGAAUAAGGACCGGCUAAUUCCGUGCCAGCAGCCGCGGUAAUACGGAAGGUCCAGGCGUUAUCCGGAUUUAUUGGGUUUAAAGGGAGUGUAGGCGGUUGGUUAAGCGUGUUGUGAAAUGUAGAUGCUCAACAUCUGACUUGCAGCGCGAACUGGCUGACUUGAGUACACACAACGUAGGCGGAAUUCAUGGUGUAGCGGUGAAAUGCUUAGAUAUAACGAAGAACUCCGAUUGCGAAGGCAGCUGACGGGAGCGCAACUGACGCUUAAGCUCGAAGGUGCGGGUAUCAAACAGG